UGUUACAUUGCUCAGGCUGGUCUUGAACUCCUGGCCUCAAGGAUCUUUCUGCCUUGGCUUCCCAAAGUGUUGGGAUUGCAGCUGUGAGCUACGGCACCUGGCCCACUAUUUAUUUUUUUAUUUAUCGAGACAGGGUCACACUCUGUUGCUCAGGUUGAGUGCGGUGGUGCGAUCACAGCUCUCUGCAGCCUCUACCUCCCAGGGUCAAGUGAUCCUUUCACCUCAGCCUCCUGAGUAGCUGGGACCACA
rnacentral:lncRNA from 1 species